UACGUAGGGUGCAAGCGUUAAUCGGAAUUACUGGGCGUAAAGCGUGCGUAGACGGUUAUGUAAGUCAGAUGUGAAAGCCCCGGGCUCAACCUGGGAAUUGCAUUUGAGACUGCAUAGCUAGGGUGCGGAAGAGGGAAGCGGAAUUUCCGGUGUAGAGGUGAAAUUCGUAGAUAUGGGGAGGAACACCGGUGGCGAAGGCGGCCACCUGGACGGGAUACUGACGUGAGACGCGAAAGCGUGGGGAGCGAACAGG
rnacentral:rRNA from 1 species